rnacentral:lncRNA from 1 species
UGCAAGUCCAGCAGUCCACACAGAGCUGCAGUAACAUGAAGGAUUUUGUCUGCUUCAAAACAAAACAAGAAAAGAAAAAAGGAAGAAACCCUACUCCUGUGCAAUUAUAAAAACUUCUUCCCUGUGAGAUGAUGGCCUGGAUGACCAGAGGGCACUGGAGGGCAGGACGUAGUGGAUAAGUGUGGUUGAAGUGACAGCCAAGGGACUCUGUUAGGCAACUUCCUGAACUUGAGAUUACACUCUUCACCGUGAAGUCCUCAAAGAGUUCAGUGGCUGCCCAUGCAGAAGACACAAUUAAGAUGAUCUUCA